CCCACACUGGCACUGUGACACGGGCCAGACUCCUACGGGAGGCAGCAGUGAGGAAUAUUGCGCAAUGAGCGAAAGCUAGACGCAGCAACGCCGCGUGCGUGAUGAAGGCCUUCGGGUCGUAAAACCCUUUUCUGGGGGAAGAGUAAGGACGGUACCCCAUGAAUAAGCCUCGGCUAACUAUGUGCCAGCAGCCGCGGUAAUACAUAGGAGGCAAGCGUUAUCCGGAUUCACUGGGCGUAAAGAGCGUUGAGGCGGCUUCGUAAGUUGGACGUGAAAGCUCCCGGCUUAACUGGGAGAGGCCGUUCAAUACUGCGGGGCUUGAGGACAAGCACAGGGGGGUGGAAUUUCCGGUGUAGUGGUGAAAUGCGUAGAUAUCGGAAGGAACACCAGUGGCGAAGGCGGCCCCCCUGGGCUGCUUCCUUGACGCUGAAGGCGAAAGCUAGGGUAGCGAACGGGAUUAGUAACCCCGGUAGUCCUAGCCGUAAACGAUGGAUACUUAGGUGUAGGAGGUUUAAAAUUCCGUUCUGGUGCCGGGAGCUUAACGGCGGUUAAAGUAUCCCGCCUGGGGAGUACGGUCGCAAGGCUAAACUUCAAAGGAAUUGACGGGGGCCCGCACAAGCAGCGGAGCGUGUGGUUUAAUUCGAUGCAACGCGAAGAACCUUACCAGGGCUUGACAUGUAGGUAGUAGUGAAGCGAAAGCGGAACGAUCCUUCGGGAAGCCUACACAGGUGCUGCAUGGCUGUCGUCAGCUCGUGCCGUGAGCUGUUAGGUUAAGUCCUGUAACGAGCGCAACCCCUGCCGUUAGUUACAAGUGUCUAACGGGACUGCCCGGCAAAACUGGGAGGAAGGUGGGGAUGACGUCAAGUCAGCAUGGCCUUUAUGUCCUGGGCUACACACACGCUACAAUGACCGGUACAAUGGGUUGCCAAGCCGCGAGGCGGAGCCAAUCCUCUAAAGCCGGUCUCAGUUCGGAUUGUAGGCUGCAACCCGCCUGCAUGAAGUUG
rnacentral:rRNA from 1 species